rnacentral:rRNA from 1 species
UACGUAGGGUGCGAGCGUUGUCCGGAUUUAUUGGGCGUAAAGAGCUCGUAGGCGGUUCGGUAAGUCAGGUGUGAAACCUCCAGGCUCAACCUGGAGACGCCACCUGAUACUGCUGUGACUCGAGUCCGGUAGGGGAGCGUGGAAUUCCUGGUGUAGCGGUGAAAUGCGCAGAUAUCAGGAGGAACACCAGCGGCGAAGGCGGCGCUCUGGGCCGGAACUGACGCUGAGGAGCGAAAGCGUGGGUAGCAAACAGG